rnacentral:misc_RNA from 1 species
UCUUCAGGUACUCCUGCCAUGGACGUCCGGCCCGUUCUCCUUGCUCAACCGACGGAGCCUUACUUUAUUACAUCAUCGAUAGUCGGUGAACAUGUCCGACCAAACCCGUGCCGUUCUCCUUCUCACCAACACAACCACCACUAUCACCAUCCUUAUCAUCAUCCUAUGUGCCUCCAGUAUUGCUGAGGUCAUCUCACAGGACGACUUCUGUUUCCGAAAUUCUUGUAAGAAAAUGAAUUUCAAAGUGAAUGGCAAAGAAAACGGUCGGGAGCCGAACAGAAUUCGCGAAGAACAUCUUUCGCCAGGAAACAGAGGACAGGUGUAUAUGAACCGUAAGUUAACGGAGAGUAACAACCCAGAUACCCAAGACAAAACUGAUACCGUGUCCAAAAAACUGUAUGUAGACCAGACGUCCGUCCGCUAUAAAAUACAUCACAAUCACAAGUUAAAAGGUUCAAAGAAGAAAAGGAAAAAAUUAAAACGUAAGAAGAAGGCGAGGAAAAAAUUUAAAGAAACACAAGAUGUUAUUACCAAGAAGUGCAUUACAAAAUGUGUGACAACCCAACAGAUGGAAUACCACUCAAACAGCAAGAUCACGAGUUCAGUUCUGAAAGAAACCCAGAAGAAUGCAAGAUCUGUCAGGAAGAAGGACAAUGAAAAUGACGUGAAAGCAAAGAGGCAGAGAGAGGAGAUGAUAUCUGUGGGGGAACGUCACCGGAGUAGAUUUGUGUAGCAAUGAAGAAGGCGAUGUAUAGUGGGGAUGUGGUUGUUGUUGUUGCUGUUGUUGUUGUUGUUGUUGAAGUGUCCGACGCACAGAGAGAAACACUGAAAAGUUGUACAGGAGGGGUUGAAGAAAAGGUUUAGACUGCGAUGAAUAAAGAAAGAAAGAAAAAAGACAGAAAGAAAGAAAGAAAGAAAGAAAAAGAGAAAGAAAAAGAGAGAGA